GCGCGGUUAGCUCAGCGGUAGAGCACUACCUUGACAUGGUAGGGGUCACAGGUUCGAUCCCUGUACCGCGCACCA
rnacentral:tRNA from 1 species